rnacentral:lncRNA from 1 species
UCCCCCCCUCUUCUCCCUUCCCUGACUGGGCUGCCCCUGCUGGGUCCUUGCGCCUCUUCCGCACCAGGACUCCCCCGAGGCGGGGCCGGGCCGGAUUAGGCCGGGAGGGGUGGAGAGAGGCUUCGGCGAACCAGCCAAGGGUGAAGGAUUUCGCGGACCCGUGGGGCGACUCAUAAAGACUUGGGCUUCCUGGUCCCCGGCUCGCCCGCGGCCUGACGGCUCUAUAAAGGCCUCCCUCCCGGCACGGCUCUCGCCUCGGCCCCUCGGCUCCGGAGCCAGCCUCUGGCCGUUUGUCUGCCCGCGCUUCGGCGCAGGGAGGGAGGGGGCAUCGCCUGUUUCUCUGCUCGAAAGGUGGAGGUUUGCCGGAGAAGGCAGGGGUGAGCCACGGUGGCUGCCCGGCUGUGCACCGGCGCCGGAGUUUGGACCAAGACAAAGACAGGAGCUGUCCGCGGUGCUGAAUCGGCGGCGCCGUCGCCGGAGCAAGGGGGCUUCUGUAACCAGCCCUCUGCUCAUUUACUCCCCAUCCUUCUAGCUCCCCUUCGCUCUGUGACUCUUGCCUUCCCCUGAAUUUAUUUCCCUUUUGGGGGACUCACCUUAGAACCUGCGCCCUGUACACAGGUGUAUAUACAUAUAUCAAAGAACAAAACGAUUGAUUGAAAACGGUGUCUUCUCCUUUCUUCCCAAAUAAAUGAUGUUAGAAAGGUUUAUUUUAACUGUACCCUAAAACGGAGAGAAAUGGAUAUUUCUACUCCUAAAUAAAUGGAAAUUCAUGUUAAAAACAAUAGAGCUAACCUAUAACAAAUGUCACGAAUCUGCCCUCUGAUUUAUUCUGAUA